UACGUAGGUGGCGAGCGCUGUCCGGAUUUAUUGGGCGUACAGGGCGCGCAGGCGGUUCGUUUAGUCCGAGGUGAAAUCUCCCGGCUCAACUGGGAGAGGUCUUCGGAUACUGGCGGGCUUGAGGAGAGCAGAGGUGAGUGGAAUUCUGGGUGUAGUGGUGAAAUGCGUAGAUAUCCAGAGGAACACCAGUGGCGAAGGCGACUCACUGGGCUCCACCUGACGCUGAGGCGCGAAAGCGUGGGGAGCGAACCGG
rnacentral:rRNA from 1 species